GCUGAAGAUCUCUGCAGUGUCAAAGUCUGAUGAAGGUUUCUACAAGUGUCAGUACUCAGGAAGAGAGUCAGCACAGAGCUGGAUGUCAGUUAAAGUAACUGUGUCAGGAGCUGACAGCUCUUCAUCUCCUGUGUGGUUGAUGGUUGGACUGGUUUGUGGAGUCUCUCUCAUUAUUAUUCUCCUGCUCUUGUUGUAUCGCUGCAGACAGUCCAAGUUUCCAGAUGAAACCCAAGAUGUCACAUAUUCUCUCAUUAAGCUUAAAGAUUUUGAAAAGAGGAGUAUGCAAAGCACACAUUGUGUGGGGGAAAAAAUUGUAUUAAUUAUUUUCUUUUGUGAAUUAAUCUGAUCAUCUUAACAGGGAAGCAUCACAAACCAAAGGAGUGUGUUAUUUUACUCUGAGGUGAAGACGGGAGCUGCAGAGGACAGUCUGAUGUAUGCUGAGGUCAAACAGCCCAAAAAAGAAAAAGCCAAGAAAAACAAAGGAACAUCAAGUCCUGCAGCUGAUGCAGCAGUUUAUUCUGAAGUCACAUCA